rfam:Hordeum vulgare subsp. vulgare, WGS project CAJW01000000 data, contig: morex_contig_47296
UCUCUCUGAUGGAGAACAGAUGACGAGUCUGAUGUAAGCCAUUUUAUUAAACCAUGUGGACAAUUGAGGCAUUUUCUGAGAGAG